AUUGAACGCUGGCGGCAUGCUUUACACAUGCAAGUCGAACGGUAACAGGCCUUCGGGUGCUGACGAGUGGCGAACGGGUGAGUAAUGCAUCGGAACGUGCCCAGUGGUGGGGGAUAACGCAGCGAAAGCUGUGCUAAUACCGCAUGUGAUCUGAGGAUGAAAGCGGGGGACCAGGCAGCAAUGUUUGGCCUCGCGCCUUUGGAGCGGCCGAUGUCAGAUUAGGUAGUUGGUGGGGUAAAGGCCUACCAAGCCGACGAUCUGUAGCUGGUCUGAGAGGACGACCAGCCACACUGGAACUGAGACACGGCCCAGACUCCUACGGGAGGCAGCAGUGGGGAAUUUUGGACAAUGGGCGCAAGCCUGAUCCAGCAAUGCCGCGUGCGGGAAGAAGGCCUUCGGGUUGUAAACCGCUUUUGUACGGAACGAAAAGGCUCUGGCUAAUACCUGGGGCUGAUGACGGUACCGUAAGAAUAAGCACCGGCUAACUACGUG
rnacentral:rRNA from 1 species